rnacentral:rRNA from 1 species
GGCGAUCAGAUACCGCCCUAGUUCUGACCGUAAACGAUGCCAACUAGCGAUCCGCCAGUCGACUCAUCGCUCUGGUGGGGAGCUUCCCGGAAACGAAAGUCUUCCGGUUCCGGGGGAAGUAUGGUUGCAAAGCUGAAACUUAAAGGAAUUGACGGAAGGGCACCACCAGGAGUGGAGCCUGCGGCUUAAUUUGACUCAACACGGGGAAACUCACCCGGCCCGGACACCGUAAGGAUUGACAGAUUGAUAGCUUUUUCAUGAUUCGGUGGAUGGUGGUGCAUGGCCGUUCUUAGUUCGUGGAGCGAUUUGUCUGGUUUAUUCCGAUAACGAGCGAGACUCUGGCCUACUAAAUAGUUGGCACAUUGCCACUGUGUGCACAACUUCUUAGAGGGAUUUUCGGUGUUCAGCCGCACGAAAUUGAGCAAUAACAGGUCUGUGAUGUCCUUAGAUGUCCGGGGCUGCACGCGCGCUACACUGGCAAAAUCAGCGUGCUUGUCCUCCCCCGAAAGGGGUUGGUAAACCGAUGAAAAUUUGCCGUGAUUAGGAUCGGACAUUGCAAUUAUUGUCCGUGAACGAGGAAUCCCUUGUAAGGGCGAGUCAUCAACUCGUCCUGAAUACGUCCCUGCCCUUGUA